GACGAACGCUGGCGGCGUGCUUAACACAUGCAAGUCGAACGAAGUGGCGAACGGGUGAGUAACGCGUAAUCAACCUGCCCUUCAGGGGGGGACAACAGUUGGAAACGACUGCUAAUACCGCAUACUGAAGGUGGGGAUUGCGUCUGAUUUGCUAGUUGGCGGGGUAACGGCCCACCAGGGCGAUGAUCAGUAGCCGGUCUUAGAGGAUGAACGGCCAAAUUGGGACUGGUACACGGCCCCGACUCCUACGGGAGGCAGCAGUGGGGAAUCUUUCGCAAUGGACGAAAGUCUGACGGAGCAACGCCGCGGGAGAGAUGACGGCCUUCGGGUUGUAAAGCUCUGUUAAUCGGGACGCGGUACCGGAAUAGAAAGCCACGGCUAACUACGUGCCAGCAGCCGCGGUAAUUC
rnacentral:rRNA from 1 species